CAAGGAAUUUUCCCCAAUGGGCGCAAGCCUGAGGGAGCAACGCCGCGUGCAGGACGACGGCCUUCGGGUUGUAAACUGCUUUUAGGGGGGAAGACAUGGACGGUACCCCCUGAAUAAGCCCCGGCUAACUCCGUGCCAGCAGCCGCGGUAAGACGGAGGGGGCAAGCGUUGUCCGGACUUACUGGGCGUAAAGCGCACGUAGGCGGCGCGGUGCGUCGGUGCUGAAAGCGCCAGGCUUAACCUGGCGAGGCGUGCCGAUACGACCGGGCUUGAGGCAGGGAGAGGGUAGCGGAAUUCCGGGUGUAGUGGUGAAAUGCGUAGAGAUCCGGAGGAACGCCGGUGGUGGAGACGGCUACCUGGCCCUGACCUGACGCUGAGGUGCGAAAGCGUGGGGAGCAAACCGGAUUAGAUACCCGUGUAGUCC
rnacentral:rRNA from 1 species